rnacentral:rRNA from 1 species
AUAAUACUCCAUAAAUUACAGACACUGGAAUGUUCUUUAGUCGAAAGUUCUGGCGCCUUAAGAUGGAUCUGCGGUCGAUUAGGUUGUUGUUGGGGUAACGGCCCAACAAGCCUGUAAUCGAUACGGGUUGUGGGAGCAAGAGCCCGGAGAUGGAAUCUGAGACACGAUUCCAGGCCCUACGGGGCGCAGCAGGCGCGAAAACUUUACAAUGCAGGAAACUGUGAUAAGGGAACUCCGAGUGCCCGUAUACGCGGGCUGUCCAGGUGUUUAAAAAUCAUCUGAAGAAAGGGCCGGGCAAGACCGGUGCCAGCCGCCGCGGUAAUACCGGCGGCUCGAGUGGUGGCCACUAUUAUUGGGCUUAAAGCGUCCGUAGCUGGACCGAUAAGUCUCUUGGGAAAUCCGCCGGCUCAACCGGCGGGCGUCUAAGGGAUACUGUUAGUCUAGGGACCGGGAGAGGUGAGAGGUACUCCGGGGGUAGGAGUGAAAUCCUAUAAUCCCCGGGGGACCACCGAUGGCGAAGGCAUCUCACCAAAACGGCUCCGACAGUGAUGGACGAAAGCUGGGGGAGCGAACCGGAUUAGAUACCCGGGUAGUCCCAUCCGUAAACUAUGCGCGUUAGGUGU